rnacentral:rRNA from 1 species
GACGAACGCUGGCGGCGUGCUUAACACAUGCAAGUCGAACGGAAAGGCCCUGCUUUUGUGGGGUGCUCGAGUGGCGAACAGGUGAGUAACACGUGAGUAACCUGCCCUUGACUUUGGGAUAACUUCAGGAAACUGGGGCUAAUACCGGAUAGGAGCUCCUGCUGCAUGGUGGGGGUUGGAAAGUUUCGGCGGUUGGGGAUGGACUCGCGGCUUAUCAGCUUGUUGGUGGGGUAGUGGCUUACCAAGGCUUUGACGGGUAGCCGGCCUGAGAGGGUGACCGGCCACAUUGGGACUGAGAUACGGCCCAGACUCCUACGGGAGGCAGCAGUGGGGAAUAUUGCACAAUGGGCGGAAGCCUGAUGCAGCAACGCCGCGUGCGGGAUGACGGCCUUCGGGUUGUAAACCGCUUUCGCCUGUGACGAAGCGUGAGUGACGGUAAUGGGUAAAGAAGCACCGGCUAACUACGUGCCAGCAGCCGCGGUGAUACGUAGGGUGCGAGCGUUGUCCGGAUUUAUUGGGCGUAAAGGGCUCGUAGGUGGUUGAUCGCGUCGGAAGUGUAAUCUUGGGGCUUAACCCUGAGCGUGCUUUCGAUACGGGUUGACUUGAGGAAGGUAGGGGAGAAUGGAAUUCCUGGUGGAGCGGUGGAAUGCGCAGAUAUCAGGAGGAACACCAGUGGCGAAGGCGGUUCUCUGGGCCUUUCCUGACGCUGAGGAGCGAAAGCGUGGGGAGCGAACAGGCUUAGAUACCCUGGUAGUCCACGCUGUAAACGGUGGGUACUAGGUGUGGGGUCCAUUCCACGGGUUCCGUGCCGUAGCUAACGCUUUAAGUACCCCGCCUGGGGAGUACGGCCGCAAGGCUAAAACUCAAAGGAAUUGACGGGGCCCCGCACAAGCGGCGGAGCAUGCGGAUUAAUUCGAUGCAACGCGUAGAACCUUACCUGGGUUUGACAUGGAUCGGGAGUGCUCAGAGAUGGGUGUGCCUCUUUUGGGGUCGGUUCACAGGUGGUGCAUGGCUGUCGUCAGCUCGUGUCGUGAGAUGUUGGGUUAAGUCCCGCAACGAGCGCAACCCUUGUUCACUGUUGCCAGCACGUUAUGGUGGGGACUCAGUGGAGACCGCCGGGGUCAACUCGGAGGAAGGUGGGGAUGACGUCAAGUCAUCAUGCCCCUUAUGUCCAGGGCUUCACGCAUGCUACAAUGGCUGGUACAGAGAGUGGCGAGCCUGUGAGGGUGAGCGAAUCUCGGAAAGCCGGUCUCAGUUCGGAUUGGGGUCUGCAACUCGACCUCAUGAAGUCGGAGUCGCUAGUAAUCGCAGAUCAGCAACGCUGCGGUGAAUACGUUCCCGGGGCU